rnacentral:rRNA from 1 species
GAUGAACGCUGGCGGCGUGCCUAAUACAUGCAAGUCGAGCGAACAGACGAGGAGCUUGCUCCUCUGACGUUAGCGGCGGACGGGUGAGUAACACGUGGAUAACCUACCUAUAAGACUGGGAUAACUUCGGGAAACCGGAGCUAAUACCGGAUAAUAUAUUGAACCGCAUGGUUCAAUAGUGAAAGACGGUUUUGCUGUCACUUAUAGAUGGAUCCGCGCCGCAUUAGCUAGUUGGUAAGGUAACGGCUUACCAAGGCAACGAUGCGUAGCCGACCUGAGAGGGUGAUCGGCCACACUGGAACUAGGACACGGUCCAGACCCCUACGGGAGGCAGCAGUAGGGAAUCUUCCGCAAUGGGCGAAGGCCUGACGGAGCAACGCGGCGUGAUUGAUGAAGGUCUUCGGAUCGUAAAACUCUGUUAUUAGGGAAGAACAAAUGUGUAAGUAACUAUGCACGUCUUGACGGUACCUAAUCAGAAAGCCACGGCUAACUACGUG